rnacentral:lncRNA from 1 species
AAAAUGAUAAUUUAUUUUAAACAAUAAGUGUAAAUGUAACAACCCUUUACCCGAUCUAAUCAUACAGCUCCGGUAUAAGACUAUUACAUUUGGUGCCAAAACGAUUAUGGCUAGAUAUUAUUUAAAUAGAAUAUUUAUACAUAGCAUUAUAACUUACCAACCAUAUUUGCAAACAUACAUAUAGUUUUACUAAUUCAUUUCAUAUAUAUAUAUACCAAAAUACGUAAAAUACCUAAAAAUAGAUAGAAGUCCAAGAGUUUACAUUUUAAUUCCUAACACAUGGAAGCAUAACUGACUGUCUAUGUACAUGCCAUUUUAAUUCAAAAUAUGGUACCUACUUCUGAAGCUCUUGAAGAUGUGAUGAGAUGAGAGAUCUUCUAUCCUGACUUUACCUCUCCGAGUCAAACUGUACCUACGCGUUAAAAUUAAACGCGUUAAGCCGGUGAAGGCUUAGUAAGCGCUACAAGAAUAAACAAAUAAAUAAAUCUAAACAAAAUAUGUCAAACUCAUUCUGUUAUUACGUAUUUAUGUACGUAUAAGCUUCAUAAAACUUACCUUAGCAUUUUAAUGAUUCGCUUUUCCACAAAUCAUAAUCUUAGCCCAAAGUAGAUUUUAUAGAACACACCGGAUAUACGGAACAAAUACAGAGGUGCAUUGGUAUGCACUAAUGAACAGAGAGCACUAAAGUGCUAUACAGAGAGCACAGAUGUGCUAAACAGAGAACACUGACGUGCUAAAAUCAGAGAGCACCAACGUGCUAAUAAUCAGAGAGCGCGCUAAAGUUCCUUAAUGGCAUGCCACUAAUAUCCUGAUAGUUCUAAAUUCCAUCUACUUGGGCAUUAAAAUUGAAUCUCAUUCAAUUAAAUACUUUAUAGAAUUAUUUCGAAAAAGAUUUCUCAUUUCUCCAUCAUUAUAAUUUAGUGCACAUUUCACAAUUCACAAUUAUCACACCAUUUUCACAUAUAUACACUUUUGUCACAAUAUUUACUUAAUGUUCAAUCAAUAUACCACUACAUACUUUCCAUCUAUAAUUUUCUUUACAAAUUUCAUAGUUCCAUAAUCUUUUAUUUUACUUUAUUUUAUUUUAUUUCUAAAUAAUUCUAUACUAUAAUAUAAGCAUUUAAAUAAAAUAAUUUAAAAAAAUAAGCUUGUAGUACUUACAACAAAAAGGUUGAGAUGAUAUCUUCCUUCACUCCUUAGCCUUCUCUUUUCAUUUUUCUUCAAUUUCAUAUAAAACACAUAACAUUUAUAUAUUAGAAAAACAAUCAAAUAACUUUCCUAUAUGAUUUAAUAAGAAUAAACAUAUAUGAUAUAAUAAUUUCAUAAUUUCUUACCUUAGCUAAUAUUUCAAUUUAAUUCAUAACUAAAAUUAUUUCUAUUUCUAUCACAAUCUAUACAUUAUUUUUACUUAAAUUCUACUUACAACUUGACUUAACUCUCAAAUUUUCACUAAUAAACCUUAAUUUCGAAUUUCUUAUAAUUUUACAUUAAACUUAUAACUUAUUUCUCAAUUUAAUCUUUUUCCCAAUCCUAGUUUGAAUUUCCAUCAACUCAACCUCUAAUUCAUCCACUAAUUCAAUAUAAACUACAUAAAAAAAAUUCUACUAACUUUCAAAAUUUCAAUAUAUACUUGCUAGUAUUUUGAUCUAGAAUCAUAAAAACUCAAAGAUUUCAAGAAAAGGACUUAAUUUGACUUACCAAUUUGAAAUUGAACCUUAAAAUCCCUAAUUUUCUUCUUUACUUUUUCUUUCUUUCUUUCUCCCCUGUUUCUCCCCUGUUCCGUUUCGAAUUGUAUUCUGUUUCUUUCUUU